AAAAAGACAAACUCUGGGUUUCCGUGUCCAACUUUAACUGUCCGUCUUAUAUGAAUUUUUUUUAUAAUUCGUAUUUUCAUUGUUGUUAGAUGAUAAAACAUGAUUAAUAUUUUAUACGUGACUUGUCUUUUUAAUUUUUUUCAUAAUUUUUUUAAAUAAGACGGACGGUCAAUCAUUGGGCACGGAAACCAAGG
rfam:Oryza sativa (indica cultivar-group) chromosome 2, whole genome shotgun sequence.